rnacentral:rRNA from 1 species
GACAGAGGGUGCAAACGUUGUUCGGAAUUACUGGGCGUAAAGCGCGUGUAGGCGGCUAAGUAAGUCGGGCGUGAAAUCCCACGGCUCAACCGUGGAAGUGCACUCGAAACUGCAUAGCUAGAGUCCUGGAGAGGAAGGUGGAAUGCUUGGUGUAGUGGUGAAAUGCGUAGAGAUCAGGCGGAACACCCGUGGCGAAGGCGGCCAGCUGGGCCGACCCUGACGCUGAGGCGCGAAGGCGUGGGGGAGCGAACGGG